rnacentral:rRNA from 1 species
AGCGAACGCUGGCGGCAGGCCUAACACAUGCAAGUCGAGCGAAAGGAUUCCCUUCGGGGAUGAAUUUAGCGGCGGACGGGUGAGUAACACGUGGGCAACCUGCCUUAUAGAGGGGGAUAGCCUUCCGAAAGGAAGAUUAAUACCGCAUAACAUCAGAUUAUCGCAUGGUAGACUGAUCAAAGGAGCAAUCCGCUAUAAGAUGGGCCCGCGUCGCAUUAGCUAGUUGGUGAGGUAACGGCUCACCAAGGCGACGAUGCGUAGCCGACCUGAGAGGGUGAUCGGCCACAUUGGGACUGAGACACGGCCCAGACUCCUACGGGAGGCAGCAGUGGGGAAUAUUGCACAAUGGGGGAAACCCUGAUGCAGCAACGCCGCGUGAGUGAUGAAGGCCUUCGGGUUGUAAAGCUCUGUCUUUGGGGACGAUAAUGACGGUACCCAAGGAGGAAGCCACGGCUAACUACGUGCCAGCCGCCGCCGUAAGAC